GACGAACGCUGGCGGCAUGCCUAAUUCAUGCAAGUCUAUCGAACUUUUUUAGACACUUGCUUCUAUUAAUGUUCUCCCCGGAUGGGUUAACCACACGUCAUCAACCUGCCCUCCAGUUGGGCAUCACCCCCGGACACCCGGGCUAAUAUCGGCUAAUCUGCAUCUCCUCAUGGACAAACCCUUAACGCCGGCUUCGGCUCCCAAUCCAGGAUCCGCCCGCGGCCCAUUAGCCAGUUGAUGGGAUAACGGCCUACCAAGGCAACGAUGCGUAGCCGACCUGAGAGGGUGAUCGGCCACACUGGGACUGAGACACGGCCCAGACUCCUACGGGAGGCAGCAGUAGGGAAUCUGCCACAAUGGACGGAAGUCUGAUGGGGCAAUGCGGCGUGAGGGAAGAAGGUUUUCGGAUCGUAAAGCUCUGUUGUGAGGGAAGAACAAGUACGGGAGUGACUGCCCGUACCUUGACGGUACCUCAUUAGAAAGCUAGGGCUAACUACGUG
rnacentral:rRNA from 1 species